CCUACGGGAGGCAGCAGUGGGGAAUAUUGCACAAUGGGCGCAAGCCUGAUGCAGCCAUGCCGCGUGUGUGAAGAAGGCCUUCGGGUUGUAAAGCACUUUCAGCGGGGAGGAAGGCGGUGAGGUUAAUAACCUCAUCGAUUGACGUUACCCGCAGAAGAAGCACCGGCUAACUCCGUGCCAGCAGCCGCGGGAAUACGGAGGGUGCAAGCGUUAAUCGGAAUUACUGGGCGUAAAGCGCACGCAGGCGGUCUGUCAAGUCGGAUGUGAAAUCCCCGGGCUCAACCUGGGAACUGCAUUCGAAACUGGCAGGCUAGAGUCUUGUAGAGGGGGGUAGAAUUCCAGGUGUAGCGGUGAAAUGCGUAGAGAUCUGGAGGAAUACCGGUGGCGAAGGCGGCCCCCUGGACAAAGACUGACGCUCAGGUGCGAAAGCGUGGGGAGCAAACAGGAUUAGAUACCCUGGUAGUC
rnacentral:rRNA from 1 species